AGAGGGGGCAAGCGUUGCUCGGAAUUACUGGGCGUAAAGGGCGCGUAGGCGGGAUGGCAAGUCGGUCGUGAAAUCCCUCGGCUCAACCGAGGAGCGUCGAUCGAUACUGCCGUUCUUGAGGGUUGCAGAGGAGACUGGAAUUCCCGGUGUAGCGGUGAAAUGUGUAGAGAUCGGGAGGAACACCGGUGGCGAAGGCGGGUCUCUGGGCAACUCCUGACGCUGAGGCGCGAAAGCGUGGGGAGCAAACGGGAUUAGAUACCCCGGUAGUCCACGCUGUAAACGAUGACGACUAGGUGUGGGGGGGUUCAGUCCCCUCCGUGCCGCAGCUAACGCAUUAAGUCGUCCGCCUGGGGAGUACGGCCGCAAGGUUG
rnacentral:rRNA from 1 species